UCGGCGUCCCGCCUUUCCCAGCCUCUGCCCACGUCCCUUACCCCAAACUCGCCGGAAAAACUCGCCAACCCGGCGAGUUAACUCAUGGUCCCUCUUUCCCUUCUCUCUUUCUUCCACGUGGCCUGACAAAUAACCGAUUUUGGUUCGAAUCCGCGUUGUAUUUUGCUCUCUCAUACGUGAAUCUCUUUCAACGGUAGAUGAUGGACGAAGGGUAGGAUAUGAUUAAUGAAAAUUAAUCAUACCCCUCCAUUUGCCCAAUUUUUUUACCAAAAAGAAGGAGAUUUUCGUAAUUUUGGUGGGAUUUUCGGAUUUUUGAAGGGUUUUUGCGAUUUCUUGCAAAGGAAGGAGAGAAGCUUCAAGAGAGGGCUAUAUAUUUGGGUCUGGACAGAGAUUUUAAGGGGGGAUUUCUCGACAGAAAAAGCUAAAAAGAUUUUAAGGACAGAGCUUUUCCAUUUUUGAGUUUCAAUUUGAGUUUUGGUAUUGAAUCGAGGUCGCUCGAGUCGUCAAUUGCUUGCCAGUUGAGGUCCGUUCGAGAUCGCGAGUUCCUCUUUCUUGGAUGCUGUUUGUCAUGGAUCUUCACUGCCAUAUUUAAGUGUAUUUGAUUGCGAUCAGAAUUAAUUAAGAGCGCUUUCAGAUUCAGGAGUCUCAGGUCAUGCAAGCAAAGGCUGAGUGCUUCCACAACAGGCUUGUUCGUAGUUGACUAAGUAGCUGCUCGGCGUUCACAGCCUAAUACUUCUCCUACCUAUCUUUAUUUUCCCUUUGUACUAGCCUUGUAUUAGACUAUGUAUUCUUUUCAUAUUUUUAGACGGAUUUUUAGAUGCUCAUGACUGGUGACACCCCGAUGUCGGGCUCUGUUGUUUCUGCAUUGUUUUAUUCUAUUCUAUAUUUUGGGAUUUAUAGCUUA